rnacentral:misc_RNA from 1 species
AUUAUCUUAAAAAAAAAGAUUUUAUUAUCAUUUUACGAUUAUAAAUGGGUAAAGUAAAAAAAAUUCAAGAAUGCAAAAAAAUAAAAGUAAGACGACAAUUAUUCGUAAAACCAAUAGCUAUUGUUAAACCCUAUGUGCCGGAAAAUAAAUAUAAAGCACCUCAAAUAUAUGUACCUCAAGUGGUAGAAACAAGACCACUUGAGGAAUCAGACGAGGAAACGUAUGAAGAUCAAUUGGAAAUCUACGACGAUCUUCCUGAAAUAGACGAUGGGUUCAAGCUCAAGCUAAAAAGAAGAACUACAAACAACACAAACGAUGAUGCAUUAAUCACUUCCUACACCACUAAAUCUAUAUGUCUAAUUGUACUUACAUUUCACAAAAGGUUUUGUAAACCAGUGCUGAAAGCUGAUAUUAAUGAGCAGUGGCAGAAACAAGCCUGCAUCGGACAAACCAUGAAUGCACCUCUCUCAGAAGCCUUGACUUUUCCACUCCAAGAGAUAAAUGAUCUUCUGAAAAUCAACCCAAUUGCAAGAUUCUGAGUAGCGAUCAAGAACAAGGCAGGAAAAAGGAUAGAUCCUUUAUAUGAGGAAUUGUUUUGGUAAAAUAUUGUGUAUAAUUGGUAUCGUUAAAAAUAUUGUGGAACUGAAUAUCCAAACAAAAUAAAUCUGGGUCCAGAUCUCAAAAUUAGGAUACAGGUACCCAGGUGCAGUAAGAAAACUAUCCCUAAGCGACGACUAGUCAACCAGACAAGAUGCUGCCAAAAUGGUUAUCAAGUUCAAUUGACAUGGAUAUCCUCAAAAAAUUGCUAGGAGAGGCGUAGAGCAAAGUUCUUUAGAAGACAUUUAAUUUUUAUAUUAAAUGUAAUGAAGUGUUUUUUAUAAUACUUUUAUGUUCUUUUUUACAUUGUUGUUUUAUCGAAUGCUGGUUGAGAAUAUUUGUCGAAUAAAUUUUUUUUAUAUGA